UGAGUAGAUCGGAUGGUCACGUGCAUUUUGCAUGAGGAAAGUCCGAGCUCCAUAGGGCAGGAUGCUGGGUAAUACCCAGUGGGGGUGACCCCAAGGAUAGUGCAACAGAAAUAUACCGCCUAGCAAUAGGUAAGGGUGGAAAGGUGAGGUAAGAGCUCACCAGCAACUAGGCGACUAGUUGGCUCUGUAAACCCCAUCUGGAGCAAGACCAAGUAGGGACAUAAAAAGACAGCUGCUCGUUGUCGUCCCGUAGGUAGGUCGCAAGAACCUAUUGGCAACAAUAGGUCUUAGAUAGAUGACCGUCUAAGACAGAACUCGGCUUACAGAUCUACUCAUUAU
rfam:Sporanaerobacter acetigenes DSM 13106 genome assembly, contig: EJ96DRAFT_scaffold00002.2